UUCUGGCAUCGAUGAAGAACGCAGCGAAAUGCGAAAAGUAGUGUGAAUUUGCAGAAUUCAGUGAAUCAUCGAAUCUUUGAACGCACAUUGCGCCCCUUGGUAUUCCAUGGGGCAUGCCUGUUCGAGCGUCAUUUGUACUCUCAAGCUUUGCUUGGUGUU
rnacentral:rRNA from 1 species